rnacentral:tRNA from 1 species
GUCCCUGUGGCUCAGUUGGUAGAGCAUGGUAUGUGCAACGCCAGGGUUGUGGGUUCGAUUCCCACGGGGGGCC